rnacentral:rRNA from 1 species
UACGGGGGGGGCAAGCGUUGUUCGGAAUUAUUGGGCGUAAAGGGCGCGUAGGCGGCCUGGCAAGUGGAAGGUGAAAUCCCUCGGCUUAAACGAGGAACUGCCCUCCAAACUGCUUGGCUUGAGUCCGGGAGAGGUGAGUGGAAUUCCCAGUGUAGCGGUGAAAUGCGUAGAUAUUGGGAGGAACACCAGUGGCGAAGGCGGCUCACUGGACCGGAACUGACGCUGAGGCGCGAAAGCGUGGGGAGCAAACGGG